UACGUAGGGUGCAAGCGUUGUCCGGAAUUAUUGGGCGUAAAGAGCUCGUAGGCGGUCUGUCGCAUCUGGUGUGAAAACUCAAGGCUUAACCUUGGGCCUGCAUCGGGUACGGGCAGACUAGAGUGCGGUAGGGGAGACUGGAAUUCCUGGUGUAGCGGCGAAAUGCGCAGAUAUCAGGAGGAACACCGGUGGCGAAGGCGGGUCUCUGGGCCGUAACUGACGCUGAGGAGCGAAAGCAUGGGGAGCGAACAGG
rnacentral:rRNA from 1 species